CAGUAGCCACGGUAAUACGGAGGGAGCUAGCGUUAUCCGGAAUUACUGGGCGUAAAGCGCACGUAGGCGUCUUUGUAAGUUAGAGGUGGAAGCCUGGAGCUCAACUCCAGAAUUGCCUUUAAGACUGCAUCGCUUGAAUCCAGGAGAGGAGAGUGGAAUUCCGAGUGUAGAGGUGAAAUUCGUAGAUAUUCGGAAGAACACCAGUGGCGAAGGCGGCUCACUGGACUGGUAUUGACGCUGAGGUGCGAAAGCGUGGGGAGCAAACAGGAUUAGAUACCCCUGUAGUCCCUGUCUCUUAUAC
rnacentral:rRNA from 1 species